rnacentral:tRNA from 1 species
GUACCCUUGGUGUAAUGGUUAUCACAUCCGCCUAACACGCGGAAUGUACCGGGUUCGAAACCUGGUGGGUACA